UAUCUUGAUUGAAGGACACUUGCAUUUAAAGAUGACAAGAGUUGAACGAAUUAAGGAUAUGAUAGAGGAACGGUCCAAAGUAUGACGAUAGGAGCAUGCUCACUAAGGACUAAAUCGCGUAACGACCGCGAACAAGGUUAAUGGCAAGAAACGCCCGUCGGGGCAAGCAUUACCAGUUUGACUCUGACAAGCUAGGUAGGAGCUUGGAAAUGAACGGGUCAAAUGGAUACAAGUUCAAGUAUGAAGCUCGCAAGGAUGCAAGGUAAGUAUAACUUACACUAGUCAUAUAUUUUAGAAUGUUCUUUUGUCGUAUUGACUACGAAUAAGACAAAUGGUAAUUUAGUCACACGUUGACAAUAAUCGUUAGUUUUAAAAGACGCUUUCCCGCGUAAGACAUAAAGAGCCGAGAGUGGUAAUAAACGGUUUAUAAAUAAAAUGAGCAUACGGUGUUAAAAGGAGCGAGUCAUGUAGAUGAGAUGAUAAUAAAUAUUAUCUCGCAAAGAUAAACGGUCAAUUCGGCCAAACGGGUCAAAAGGUGUAGACAUCACCUUUUGACAAUAUCGACUAAUGAUUCUGGUGUCGAGUUAUAUGUUUACAGGAGUAGAUAUCCAAUGGAUACUCGCAUCGCUCUUAAUUAGCAAUUAUAAAGCAAGGUAUUAAACCGGGUUAGUAAGUUGAUCCGAGCCAGGUAUGUAUAAUAGAUUAACUCAUCAUGUAGAACUUGAAGUUCUAUGAAAGUUAGGCAAAAUAAAAAAA